rnacentral:rRNA from 1 species
CAGCAGCCACGGGAAUACGAAGGGGGCUAGCGUUGCUCGGAAUGACUGGGCGUAAAGGGCGCGUAGGCGGUUCACGCAGUCAGAUGUGAAAUUCCUGGGCUUAACCUGGGGGCUGCAUUUGAGACGCGUGGGCUUGAGUGUGAAAGAGGGUCGUGGAAUUCCCAGUGUAGAGGUGAAAUUCGUAGAUAUUGGGAAGAACACCGGUGGCGAAGGCGGCGACCUGGUUCACAACUGACGCUGAGGCGCGAAAGCGUGGGGAGCAAACAGGAUUAGAUACCCGAGUAGUCCCUGUCUCUUAUAC